CUGUCUGCAAAGUAACUUUCUCAAAUCAACCACUAAAUUUAACGUCACUAGGAUGGUAUGGGUCUUGAACAAAAGCGAAGAGCGAUUAGUUUAUGAAGCUCCAAAAGGGCAGACGUAUUCACACAUGAUGGCGACAGUGCAGUAUCUGAUGGUUCAUAUGUCAUGAAGAGGGAGAAUAAAAGUAAGGACAGAUUGAAGAAGCAGGCGGGCUGAACACGGUGGAGGGAAGUGAGAAUAUAAGAAAACAUGAGGAGGAGAACGCAGGAGCUGGAGAGUCUGGUAACUGUAUAUCCACCCGUCUUAUACCAAAAGAAAUUUGCAAACAUGUUUGGCUCGCGUUCAAAUAUUUAGAAGCAGGAAGCAUUGAGAGCUUAACAACAAAUGAUAACAUUUGGCAGCUAGCACAGCACAGGAAAGGCUUCACUUGGGGUUUGGAACUCUAGCAGUGGCUGUUUGGUGGAUCCUUUCGAAAGAAAGAAAUGCUAGAGUCUGAGAAGAAGAAUGACAAUAUUGUAAAUUUUAGAUUAUAUCUUUGCUUUUUUUUUUUUUGGUG